rnacentral:rRNA from 1 species
CCUACGGGUGGCAGCAGUGGGGAAUAUUGGGCAAUGGGCGCAAGCCUGACCCAGCAACGCCGCGUGAAGGAAGAAGGCUUUCGGGUUGUAAACUACUUUCGUCAGGGAAGAGUAGAAGACGGUACCUGACGAAUAAGCCACGGCUAACUACGUGCCAGCAGCCGCGGUAAUACGUAGGUGGCAAGCGUUGUCCGGAUUUACUGGGGGUAAAGGGCGUGUAGUCGGGUUGACAAGUCAGAUGUGAAAUCCGGCGGCUUAACCGCAGAACUGCAUUUGAAACUGGUGAUCUUGAGUACUGGAGAGGCAGAUGGAAUUCCUGGUGUAGCGGUGAAAUGCGUAGAGAUUAGGAGGAACACCAGUGGCGAAGGCGGUCUGCUGGACAACGACUGACGGUGAGGCGCGAAAGCGUGGGGAGCAAACAGGAUUAGAUACCCGAGUAGUC